GUGCGGUCACAAAAAACAACAUUUUUUUGAAUGUUGGCUUUGCCAACAGCGGCGAAGCCAUAAAUAUUAUGGAUAAAACCGAC
rnacentral:ncRNA from 1 species